CGAAGAGCGGCAGUACAGGGCGGAGCAGCCAACAUCCGGGCACCCCCGCCACAGGGGCUAAUUUGCAUACAUACGUGGGGGGGGGGAGACUGCGCGGGACGUCAUGUAUUUUCAGCCGGAGGAGGUUUGAGGGAAUGGACGAGAAGUUGGAAACCAUUUGAAGUGGAAUAAUGCAGAGUGAUCAGUUGCUGAACCCAGUGAAUAGACAAUCUAAAUAUAAAAUAGAGAAGAGGCAGUUGAUGUCCAGAAUAGCAGUGGAUUAGUACUGAUUCAAAAUAAUGGAAAUUAGUAAAAAUAAAUUUGAUUUGAUGGAAGCCCAUUGACUUCAAUAAAGAUAUACCAACAGGGUCAGGUGUUCUGCAGGUCUGGAGGGUCCCCCAUCUAAGCUGCAACAGCACCAGCUACAGCUAAAACAGACAUAUAUUGUGUUUACAGUCACAAUGGAAAGCGAAAGAUAAGUUUCAGAAUUACCUUAUUUCCCUCAAAGCUUUUAAUAAGGCUGACACUUCAGUUUUGGCGCACUUCUGCACAGCACCACUCUCCAGCGACAGCCAUGGUGUGUAUGGCUGCCGAGGAGCAGAGAAAUGGGGGGAUUGUUCAGUUGCAUAGAACAAUAAAAUUUAGGCCCUGGUUUCCCUGGGUCUGAGAACAAUAGCACUGAGGACUGGCACUGUUUUCCCAAGGUGGUGGUGGUUUUAGCUGGUAUCUCUCUCCUGCAGGUCACAAAGGCAUAGAGAACACAGCUGCUGCUGGUGUCCCAAAGCUGCCCAAACCAUUAUUAGCCCGUUUGCUGCCAUGUUGCCUGCUGAAGUCAUUGUUCAGGGGCAUGUGAAAGUGUCCUACUAUGGAGGAAGAAAUAAGGCUGCCAUCCCUAGAAGCCUUUGGGAGAGGAUUACAGGGUACCUCGAAGAUUUCAUCAAGGUCUCUCAGGAGGAUACAAGGGACGUCCCUCUGUACAUAAACUGCCUAAUCCUACACGGAAAUGAAGAGCACAUAAGUCUACCUCUGUUUCUUAGAGCACUACCUCUUCUUCUAUGAUUAAAACAAUGAAAAGUAAAUACUUCAUAGAAUAUCAAGGUUGGAAGGGACCUCAGGAGGUCGUCUAGUCCAACCCCCUGCUCAAAGCAGGGCCAAUCCCCAGACAGAUUUUUAUCCCAGUUCCCUAAAUGGCCCCCUCAAGGAUUGAACUCACACCCUUGGGUUUAACAGGCCAAUACUCAAACCACUGAGCUAUCACUUGUGUCCACUAACUUGGGGUUGGGCUAGGUGUCAUCUUUACAUUUACACAUCAUAAGGGAGAAUGUUGCACACAUUUAUCUGAGGUUCCUUCCCUUGGAUUGGGCUCGUCUGUGUUCAGCUGGCGGGAUUGUCUAGACCAGAGGUUCCCAAACUUAUUUGGCCUACCGCCCCCUUUUCAGAAAAAAAAUUACUCAGCGCCCCCCUGGAAAUCUACCUUCUUUAAGCGAACAAACAGAAAGAUGCAGUGACAAAUUUGCGUUCUUUUAUGUAUCUAUAUUUCUACCUAUGUCCUACAAUAUAGUAAAGAAAGAUGUGUUAUUAGAAUAUCGCCCAUGACAUCAGGUAUACAGUGGUUUUUGCAUAAGAUGGCAAAAGACACCCAAACUAAAAUACUAAUGAAACUAAUAAACUGGGUUUUGUUCUUUGCUCAGCAUUAGAUAUAUGUAUUUGAUAUUAAAUUGUCAAAUAUCAAACUAAAUUUAUCAAGAAAUAAUUAAUUUAAAAAAUA